rnacentral:rRNA from 1 species
UUCCGGUUGAUCCUGCCGGAGGCUACUGCUAUUGGAGUUCGAUUAAGCCAUGCAAGUCGCGGGCACCUUACGGGGACCCGGCGAACUGCUCAGUAACACGUGGAUAACCUACCCUCAGGAGGGGGAUAACCUCGGGAAACUGAGGAUAAUACCCCAUAGGUUCAGGGAACUGGAACGUCCCUAAACUCAAAGUUCCGGCGCCUGAGGAUGGGUCUGCGGCCUAUCAGGUUGUAGUUGGGGUAAUGGCCCAACUAGCCUACGACGGGUACGGGCGAUGGGAGUCGAAGCCCGGAGAUGGAUUCUGAGACACGAAUCCAGGCCCUACGGGGCGCAGCAGGCGCGAAAACUUCGCAAUGCGCGCAAGCGCGACGAGGGAACUCCAAGUGUCUGCGCAAUGCGUAGACUGUUCUCCAGUCUAAAAAGCUGGAGGUAGGAAGGGCUGGGUAAGACGGGUGCCAGCCGCCGCGGUAAUACCCGCAGCUCGAGUGGUAGCCACUAUUAUUGGGUCUAAAGCACCCGUAGCCGGCUUAGCAAAUGCCUGGGGAAAUCGGAUAGCUCAACUAUUCGAAGUCCGGGUAGACUACUAGGCUUGGGACCGAGGGAAGCUAGAGGUACUUGUGGGGUAGCGGUAAAAUGCUGUAAUCCCGCAGGGACCAUCAGUGGCGAAGGCGUCUAGCUAAAGCGGCUCCGACGGUGAGGGGUGAAGCCCUGGGGCGCAAACCGGAUUAGAUACCCGGGUAGUCCAGGGUGUAAACGCUGCCCGUUUGAUGUUAGGCAUUCCACGAGGGUGCCUAGUGUCGUAGAGAAGUUGUUAAACGGGCCACCUGGGGAGUACGGUCGCAAGGCUGAAACUUAAAGGAAUUGGCGGGGGAGCACCGCAACGGGUGGAGCGUGCGGUUCAAUUGGAUUCAACGCCGGAAAUCUUACCGGGGGCGACGGACUUAUGAAGGCCAGGCUGAUGACCUUGCCUGAUUCUCCGAGAGGUGGUGCAUGGCCAUCGACAGUUCGUACCGUGAGGCGUUCUGUUAAGUCAGACAACGAACGAGACCCCUACCCUUAGUUGCUACUCGUAAGAGGCACUCUAAGGGGACUGCCCGCGCUAAGUGGGAGGAAGGAGGGGGCCACGGUAGGUCAGUAUGCCCCGAAUCCCCCGGGCUACACGCGCGCUACAAAGGACGGGACAAUGGGUCCCAACACCGAGAGGUGAAGGCAAUCCCGAAACCCGUUCAUAGUUCGGAUCGUGGGCUGAAACUCGCCCACGUGAAGCUGGAAUCCGUAGUAAUCGCGGGUCAAUAUCCCGCGGUGAAUACGCCCCUGCUCCUUGCACACACCGCCCGU